UACAUGGGGUGCAAACGUUGCUCGGAAUUAUUGGGCGUAAAGCGCACGUAGGCGGUUCGUUAAGUCGGAUGUGAAAGCCCUCGGCUCAACUGAGGAAGUGCACCCGAAACUGGCGAGCUUGAGUACGAAAGAGGAUCGCGGAAUUCCCGGUGUAGAGGUGAAAUUCGUAGAUAUCGGGAGGAACACCGGUGGCGAAGGCGGCUAUCUGGACGACAACUGACGCUGAGGCGCGAAAGCGCGGGGAUCAAACAGG
rnacentral:rRNA from 1 species